rnacentral:rRNA from 1 species
AGUGAACGCUGGCGGUAGGCCUAACACAUGCAAGUCGAACGGCAGCACAGUAAGAGCUUGCUCUUACGGGUGGCGAGUGGCGGACGGGUGAGGAAUACAUCGGAAUCUACUUUUUCGUGGGGGAUAACGUAGGGAAACUUACGCUAAUACCGCAUACGACCUACGGGUGAAAGCAGGGGAUCUUCGGACCUUGUGCGAUUGAAUGAGCCGAUGUCGGAUUAGCUAGUUGGCGGGGUAAAGGCCCACCAAGGCGACGAUCCGUAGCUGGUCUGAGAGGAUGAUCAGCCACACUGGAACUUAGACACGGUCCAGACUCCUACGGGAGGCAGCAGUGGGGAAUAUUGGACAAUGGGCGCAAGCCUGAUCCAGCCAUACCGCGUGGGUGAAGAAGGCCUUCGGGUUGUAAAGCCCUUUUGUUGGGAAAGAAAAGCAGCAGGUUAAUACCCCGCUGUUCUGACGGUACCCAAAGAAUAAGCACCGGCUAACUUCGUG